CGGGGACAGAAGGGAGCUUGCUCCCGGAUGUUAGCGGCGGACGGGUGAGUAACACGUGGGUAACCUGCCUGUAAGACUGGGAUAACUCCGGGAAACCGGAGCUAAUACCGGAUAGUUCCUUGAACCGCAUGGUUCAAGGAUGAAAGACGGUUUCGGCUGUCACUUACAGAUGGACCCGCGGCGCAUUAGCUAGUUGGUGAGGUAACGGCUCACCAAGGCGACGAUGCGUAGCCGACCUGAGAGGGUGAUCGGCCACACUGGGACUGAGACACGGCCCAGACUCCUACGGGAGGCAGCAGUAGGGAAUCUUCCGCAAUGGACGAAAGUCUGACGGAGCAACGCCGCGUGAGUGAUGAAGGUUUUCGGAUCGUAAAGCUCUGUUGUUAGGGAAGAACAAGUGCAAGAGUAACUGCUUGCACCUUGACGGUACCUAACCAGAAAGCCACGGCUAACUACGUGCCAGCAGCCGCGGUAAUACGUAGGUGGCAAGCGUUGUCCGGAAUUAUUGGGCGUAAAGGGCUCGCAGGCGGUUUCUUAAGUCUGAUGUGAAAGCCCCCGGCUCAACCGGGGAGGGUCAUUGGAAACUGGGAAACUUGAGUGCAGAAGAGGAGAGUGGAAUUCCACGUGUAGCGGUGAAAUGCGUAGAGAUGUGGAGGAACACCAGUGGCGAAGGCGACUCUCUGGUCUGUAACUGACGCUGAGGAGCGAAAGCGUGGGGAGCGAACAGGAUUAGAUACCCUGGUACUCCACGCCGUAAACGAUGAGUGCUAAGUGUUAUGGGGUUUCCGCCCCUUAUUGCUGCAGCUAAUGCACUAAUCACUCCGCCUGCCGGAGUAGGGUCGCAAGACUGAUACUCAAAAGAAUUGACAAGACCCCGCACCACACCUGUAGCGUGUGAUUUUAUUCAAAUCAACGCGACGAACAUACCUCUCCUGGUCUGCGGCUACAUCUUACACAUAUAUUUUGCUUCUUCACGCAGAGAAAAAGCUACAUGUUGUGCAUGUUCUCCUCCCGAACAUGU
rnacentral:rRNA from 1 species